GGGGUUGUGGCUCAGCGGUAGAGCGCUUGCCUAGCAUAUGCAAGGCGCUGGGUUCAACCUCAGCACCA
rnacentral:tRNA from 1 species